UUCUCUUUUCCAUGCAUAACAUAUACGCAUGCAUGUUCUGUAGAACAAAGCAUAGGAGGAGUAAGAUAAUGCCUGGUUUCAGCGCCUCAGAAGACUAUGUUUUGCUUUGGUUUUAAGUGCAUUCAUGUGUAAUUAACUAAAGAGGCUUCUUUACUCAGAUAAAACCUGGUUUAGCUGUUUAAAACAGAAGUACUUCAAAAAAAGGGGAAAAUUCACAAGAUGAAGAGGGGCCCUAACUGGGUUGGGAUUAUGGAUUCAUUUUUCUCAUUUGUGUUUUUCUGUAUUCUCCAAAAGGUUUCCUGGAACAUGUGCCAUUCUUAUAGCCAGCCAUAAAGGAUUCAAACACAUGCAUACUGCAUUCACUGGCAGAUAUGACAAAGGUUAUUGUCCAUGAAAACAAAAACUGAAGUGAGAACUGUUCCAAUAGCUCAAACCUACUCUGCCAAACUGGAGUGCCCCACUGCCACAGUGACCUGGAAGACAAAAACUGGCCUGCAUUUGCUGUUGCACUGAGCAUUGUGUGAAGGUCAGAGGACAACUUGUGUGCAUCUCUUCCCUCCUUCCAGGUAGGUUCCAGAAAUUGAACUCAGGUCAUGAGACUUUGCUGAAUCAUCUCACUGGUCCCCAGAUUAUAAAUUUUAAAUGGGAAGUGUUUCUCAGCGAGCACCUCAGCAGCAUCAUUGUCACAUACAAACUUGUUAGAAAACAAUUUUAGCCCAUCUUAUGCUCAUUAAAUAAAAAUGUGUUGUGGCUUCUGGCUCUUCCCAAUCAGGCUUUAAGCUCUCCAGAACUCUUUUCAUUU